rnacentral:tRNA from 1 species
GGAUUGUGGCUCAGUGGUAGCAUGCUUGCCUUGCAUGCAUGAGGCACUGGGUUCUAUUCUCAGCACCA